UACGGGGGGGGUAAGCGUUGUUCGGAAUUACUGGGCGUAAAGGCUCGUAGGCGGCCAACUAAGUCAUACGUGAAAUCCCUCAGCUUAACUGGGGAACUGCGUGUGAUACUGGAUGGCUUGGAUUGGGAGAGGGAUGCGGAAUUCCAGGUGUAGCGGUGAAAUGCGUAGAUAUCUGGAGGAACACCGGUGGCGAAGGCGGCAUCCUGGACCAAUAUUGACGCUGAGGAGCGAAAGCCAGGGGAGCAAACGGG
rnacentral:rRNA from 1 species